UGGGGAAUUUUGGACAAUGGGGGCAACCUGAUCCAGCAAUGCCGCGUGUGUGAAGAAGGCCUUCGGGUUGUAAAGCACUUUUGUCCGGAAAGAAAACGUCGUGGUUAAUACCCGUGGCGGCUGACGGUACCGGAAGAAUAAGCACCGGCUAACUACGUGCCAGCAGCCGCGGUAAUACGUAGGGUGCAAGCGUUAAUCGGAAUUACUGGGCGUAAAGCGUGCGCAGGCGGUCCGCUAAGACAGAUGUGAAAUCCCCGGGCUUAACCUGGGAACUGCAUUUGUGACUGGCGGGCUAGAGUAUGGCAGAGGGGGGUAGAAUUCCACGUGUAGCAGUGAAAUGCGUAGAGAUGUGGAGGAAUACCGAUGGCGAAGGCAGCCCCCUGGGCCAAUACUGACGCUCAUGCACGAAAGCGUGGGGAGCAAACAGGAUUCAGAUACCCUGGGUAGUCCACGCCCUAAACGAUGUC
rnacentral:rRNA from 1 species